UUAUCUGAACCUUCGGGGRACGAUAACGGCGUCGAGCGGCGGACGGGUGAGUAAUGCCUAGGAAAUUGCCCUGAUGUGGGGGAUAACCAUUGGAAACGAUGGCUAAUACCGCAUGAUGCCUACGGGCCAAAGAGGGGGACCUUUGGGCCUCUCGCGUCAGGAUAUGCCUAGGUGGGAUUAGCUAGUUGGUGAGGUAAGGGCUCACCAAGGCGACGAUCCCUAGCUGGUCUGAGAGGAUGAUCAGCCACACUGGAACUGAGACACGGUCCAGACUCCUACGGGAGGCAGCAGUGGGGAAUAUUGCACAAUGGGCGCAAGCCUGAUGCAGCCAUGCCGCGUGUGUGAAGAAGGCCUUCGGGUUGUAAAGCACUUUCAGUCGUGAGGAAGGUAGUGUAGUUAAUAGCUGCAUUAUUUGACGUUAGCGACAGAAGAAGCACCGGCUAACUCCGUGCCAGCAGCCGCGGUAAUACGGAGGGUGCGAGCGUUAAUCGGAAUUACUGGGCGUAAAGCGCAUGCAGGUGGUUUGUUAAGUCAGAUGUGAAAGCCCGGGGCUCAACCUCGGAAUAGCAUUUGAAACUGGCAGACUAGAGUACUGUAGAGGGGGGUAGAAUUUCAGGUGUAGCGGUGAAA
rnacentral:rRNA from 1 species